rnacentral:rRNA from 1 species
UACAGAGGGGGCAAGCGUUGUUCGGAAUUACUGGGCGUAAAGGGCGCGUAGGCGGCCUGUUAAGUCGAACGUGAAAUCCCCGGGCUCAACCCGGGAACUGCGUCCGAUACUGGCAGGCUUGAAUUCGGGAGAGGGAUGUGGAAUUCCAGGUGUAGCGGUGAAAUGCGUAGAUAUCUGGAGGAACACCGAUGGCGAAGGCAGGGAUCUGGGCCGAUACUGACGCUGAGGAGCGAAAGCGUGGGGAGCGAACAGG